rnacentral:rRNA from 1 species
UGGGGAAUAUUGGACAAUGGGCGCAAGCCUGAUCCAGCAAUGCCGCGUGUGUGAAGAAGGCCUUCGGGUUGUAAAGCACUUUUAUCAGGAGCGAAAUGCCAUUGGUUAAUACCCGGUGGAGCUGACGGUACCUGAGGAAUAAGCACCGGCUAACUUCGUGCCAGCAGCCGCGGUAAUACGAAGGGUGCAAGCGUUAAUCGGAAUUACUGGGCGUAAAGGGUGCGUAGGCGGUUCGUUAAGUCUGUUGUGAAAUCCCCGGGCUCAACCUGGGAAUGGCAAUGGAUACUGGCGAGCUAGAGUGUGUCAGAGGAUGGUGGAAUUCCCGGUGUAGCGGUGAAAUGCGUAGAGAUCGGGAGGAACAUCAGUGGCGAAGGCGGCCAUCUGGGACAACACUGACGCUGACGCACGAAAGCGGGGGGAGCAAACA